rnacentral:rRNA from 1 species
UACGAAGGGGGCUAGCGUUGCUCGGAAUCACUGGGCGUAAAGGGCGCGUAGGCGGCCGAUCAAGUCAGGGGUGAAAGCCUGUGGCUCAACCACAGAAUUGCCUUUGAUACUGUUCGGCUCGAGACCGGAAGAGGUAAGUGGAACUGCGAGUGUAGAGGUGAAAUUCGUAGAUAUUCGCAAGAACACCAGUGGCGAAGGCGGCCAACUGGUCCGAAACUGACGCUGAGGCGCGAAAGCGUGGGGAGCAAACAGG